rnacentral:lncRNA from 1 species
GGCUGGGAAGAGGGCGCUUAUAGACAUCCUCCGGCAUCCUUUGUACUCACGGCGUGAUGCUGCUGCUGAUGUGCUUUUGCUCCGUAACAGAUGAACCAGGGGCCGCUGGGUCAACAGACUACAAUUCCAGUGCUUUACUGAGAGUCAGGGAGGCCAGCAGGUCCAUCCUAAGAACGGGUUUGAUCCUCUCAUGCAAGACUGCAAAGGGCUUAUUUUUUGCCAUCUGUAAAAGGCUCUUGGUUGAGAGUUUGAUAACUGAGUCCUUUAAAGAGGCCGUCAAAAGUCA